rnacentral:rRNA from 1 species
ACAGUAUAUAAGAGUUUGAUCCUGGCUCAGAUUGAACGCUGGCGGCAUGCCUUACACAUGCAAGUCGAACGGCAGCGCGGGAGCAAUCCUGGCGGCGAGUGGCGAACGGGUGAGUAAUAUAUCGGAACAUGCCCUAGAGUGGGGGAUAACGUAGCGAAAGUUACGCUAAUACCGCAUACGAUCUAAGGAUGAAAGUGGGGGAUCGCAAGACCUCAUGCUCGUGGAGCGGCCGAUAUCUGAUUAGCUAGUUGGUAGGGUAAAAGCCUACCAAGGCAACGAUCAGUAGCUGGUCUGAGAGGACGACCAGCCACACUGGGACUGAGACACGGCCCAGACUCCUACGGGAGGCAGCAGUGGGGAAUUUUGGACAAUGGGGGCAACCCUGAUCCAGCAAUGCCGCGUGUGUGAAGAAGGCCUCGGGUUGUAAAGCACUUUUGGCGGGAACGAAACGGUGAGGGCUAAUAUCCUUUGCUAAUGACGGUACCCGCAGAAUAAGCACCGGCUAACUACGUGCCAGCAGCCGCGGUAAU